CACCGCCGCGGUAAUACGGAGGGUGCAAGCGUUAAUCGGAAUUACUGGGCGUAAAGCGCACGCAGGCGGUCUGUCAAGUCAGAUGUGAAAUCCCCGGGCUUAACCUGGGAACUGCAUUUGAGACUGGCAGGCUAGAGUCUUGUAGAGGGGGGUAGAAUUCCAGGUGUAGCGGUGAAAUGCGUAGAGAUCUGGAGGAAUACCGGUGGCGAAGGCGGCCCCCUGGACAAAGACUGACGCUCAGGUGCGAAAGCGUGGGGAGCAAACAGGAUUAGAUACCCGGGUAGUCCCUGUCUCUUAUACA
rnacentral:rRNA from 1 species